CCCUGUGGCUCAGUUGGUAGAGCAUGGUGUUUGCAAUGCCAGGGUUGGGGGUUUGAUUCCCACAGGGG
rnacentral:tRNA from 1 species